GUGCUGACUUCGGCACCAUAUAUACUGAAACUUGGAUGAUACCGAAAACAUUAUCGUGUACCCUGCACAAGGAUGACAUACAAAUUAUUGAAAUACUUCAUAUUUUU
rnacentral:snRNA from 1 species